GACGAACGCUGGCGGCGUGCCUAACACAUGCAAGUCGAGCGAUGAAAUCCCUUCGGGGAUGGAUUAGCGGCGGACGGGUGAGUAACACGUGGGUAACCUGCCUCAAAGAGGGGGAUAGCCUCCCGAAAGGGAGAUUAAUACCGCAUAACAUUAGUUUUUCGCAUGAAGAACUAAUUAAAGGAGUAAUCCGCUUUGAGAUGGACCCGCGGCGCAUUAGCUAGUUGGUGAGGUAACGGCUCACCAAGGCGACGAUGCGUAGCCGACCUGAGAGGGUGAUCGGCCACAUUGGAACUGAGCCACGGUCCAGACUCCUACGGGAGGCAGCAGUGGGUAAUAUUGCACAAUGGGCGAAAGCCUGAUGCAGCAACGCCGCGUGAGUGAUGAAGGCCUUCGGGUUGUAAAGCUCUGUCUUUUGGGACGAUAAUGACGGUACCAAAGGAGGAAGCCACGGCUAACUACGUGCCAGCCGCCGCAGUAAGAC
rnacentral:rRNA from 1 species